CUUCUUACUGAUCCUGCUGAGGAUUCAAGGAGUCAGAACUCUUCUGAUGCUUCUGAACGGAACUUUGGCGAAGCAGGUGAACAGCUGUUCGUCACUUUGAGCCUUUUUCAAAAGUAAAACACACAUGUUGAGACCGUUGACAGGAACACAGCGGAGCCCCGAACCUCAUUCACGCCUUCCGAGACCUGAGCGGGGGACCAGUGGCCGCUCGCAACGCCUCUCUUGUACUUCCGGUUUCACGGACUUCAAGGCGGAAACGAGAGCGAGGCCCGGACCUCGGUGUCCACGAUGGCAGAUGCGUCUCGUCCAUAGACUGUACAUGAACAUACUCCCUCUCUCUCUCUCUUUCCGUCUCUCUUUUUCUCGAUGUUGGUUUACUUUCUCCCCGUCUGUCACUGUUCUGAUGUCAUCCUCCCUCCCUCCUCUCUCUCUCUCUCUCUGUGUCUCUCUGGGGACGAGGGAGGCGACGGCAGCGAGGUCGAUAAAGUGCUGGCAUCACCUCACAUCUCAUCUGAUCGCGCCACGGCGGAGAGGAAGGGUGAGAUUCCUGUCGUCACCCACCAGUGAGGCUGUGUUCCCUGGCGAGGACGUCUGCUGGGGAUGCGGAGGGGGUCGCUGUCCUCUCCUCGUCUCCUCCUCUGCCGCUCCUCCUCUUGCUCCUGCUCCUCCUCCCUCCGACUCCUCCUCUCCGCCCUCGGCGC